AUGAUUUCUCCGUAUACGAAACUUUCUUUUGAUGAUUGCUUAAGCAACCCUAAGCAAGUUUUGCAGAUAUGUGAAGAAACUAAUCUUGUCUUGAAUUGGGAGAAGUGCCACUUUAUGGUUAAUGAAGGUCUUGUCUUGGGGCACAAAAUCUCCAAAAGAGGUAUUGAAGUUGAUAAAGCUAAAGUUCAUGCAAUUGAAAAAAUGUCAUGUCCUAACGAUAUCAAAGGUAUAAGAAGUUUCCUUGGUCAUGUUGGUUUCUAUAGGAGAUUUAUUAAAGACUUCUCUAAAAUUUGUAGGCCUCUUACUAAUCUCUUGCAAAAAGAUGUGCCAUUUGUUUUUGAUGAUGAUUGUGUAGAAGCAUUUGAAAUACAUAAGAAAGCCUUAAUCUCUACACCUAUUGUUCAACCACCUGAUUGGAACCUACCCUUUGAAAUUAUGUGUGAUGCUAGUGAUUAUGUUGUUGGUGUUGUCCUAGGACAAAGAGUUGAUAAUAAAUUAAAUGUUAUCCAUUACGCUAGUAAAACUGUCGACAAUGCUCAAAUAAAUUAUGCUGCUACUGAAAAAGAAUUUUUAGCAGUUGUGUUUGCUUGUGAUAAAUUCAGACCUUACAUUGUUGACUCCAAAGUAAUUGUUCACACCGAUCAUGCUGCUAUUAAAUACCUUAUGGAAAAGAAAGAUGCUAAACCUGGACUUAUUAGGUGGGUUCUCUUUCUACAAGAAUUUGAUUUAUAUAUUACUGAUAGGAAAGGGGCUGAGAACCCUGUAGCAGAUAACUUGUCUAGGUUAGAAAAUAUUCUUGAUGACCCACUACCUAUUGAUGAUAGCUUCCCUGAUGAACAAUUAGCAGUCAUAAAUACUUCUUGUGGUACUCCUUGGUAUGCAGACUAUGCUAACUAUAUCGUUGCCAAAUUUAUACCACCUAGUUUCACAUACCAACAAAAUAAAAAGUUUUUCUAUGAUUUAAAACAUUACUUUUGGGAUGACCUACACGUAUAUAAAGAAGGAGUAGAUGGUGUUAUUAGAUGUUGUAUACCUGAGCAUGAGCAGGAACAAAUCCUAUGGAAAUGUCAUUCCGAGGCUUACGGAGGACACCAUGCUGGAGAUAGAACUGCACACAAGGUAUUACAAUCUGCUUCUUAUUGGCCUACUCUUUUCAAGGAUGCACAUAAGUUUGUCUUGUCUUGUGAUGAAUGUCAAAGAAUUGGUAAUAUAAGUAGACGCCAGGAAAUGCCUAUGAAUUAUUCACUUGUUAUGGAACCAUUUGAUGUUUGGGGAUUUGAUUUUAUGGGACCUUUUCCUUUCUCUAAUGGGUAUACACAUAUUUUGGUUGCUGUUGAUUACGUUACUAAGUGGGUAGAAGUUAUUCCAAGUAGUAAUGCUGAUCACAACACUUCUAUUAAAAUGCUUAAUGAAGUUAUCUUCCCGAUGUUUGGAGUCCCUAGAUAUUUAAUGACUGAUGGUGGUUCACAUUUUAUUCAUGGUGCUUUCCGUAAGUUGCUUGCUAAGUAUGAUGUUAACCAUAUAAUUGCAUCUCCAUAUCAUCCUCAAUCUAGUGGUCAAGUAGAAUUAAGCAAUAGAGAAAUAAAAUCGAUCUUGCAAAAGACUGUUAAUAGAUCUAGGAAAAAUUGGUCUAAGAAACUUGAUGAUGCAUUAUGGGCUUAUAGAACUGCUUAUAAAAAUCCUAUGGGUUUGUUUCCAUACAAAAUGGUAUAUGGGAAAGCAUGUCACUUACCUCUUGAAUUAGAAUAUAAAGCUUAUUCGACAAUUAAAGAGCUCAACUAUUAUUUCAAACUUGUCGGUGAAAAGAGGUUAUUUGACAUUAGCUCACUUGAUGAAUGGAGAACCCAAGCCUAUGAAAAUGCCAAGUUUUUUAAAGAAAAGGUUAAAAGAUGGCAUGACAAAAGAAUACAAAAGCGGGAAUUUAAUGUAGGUGACCAUGUCUUGCUAUACAAUUCUCGUUUAAGAUUUUUUGCAGGAAAACUUCUCUCUAAGCGGGAAGGACCUUUCAUUAUCGAAGAAGUUUAUCAUUCCAGUGCCAUCAAGAUCAACAACGCCGAAGGCACUAAUCUGAAGGUGGUGAAUGGGCAAAGAAUCAAACAUUAUAUCUCAGGUACGCCUAUAAAUGUUGAUACCAACAUUAUUAAUCUAAUAACACCAGAGGAGUACAAAAAGGAAACCUUCUAG
rnacentral:rRNA from 1 species